UGGAUAUGAUGAUGACUGAUUAUCUGAGAAGUAACUGAUGAAAUCUCAAGAAAAUUCCUCUAGAUAGUCAAGUUCUGAUCCAG